ACAACCUCGUUACACGAUACCACAAGCUUAUUCCGCUGUGGACUGAAAUUUUGGCUUUAGGAAUCUUUGAGCAUGAAGAACAGAAGCUUCUCAAGAAAGAGAUAGCAGAUGUCAUGUCUCUGAUGAACAUCUACGGUCCACUAAUGACUAACUUAGGAAACACGAAUAGGUUGACCAAGGAGGCAAUCGAUAAACUGGACAUGGGAAUUGCCGGUUUUCUCAUAGAAUAUCGAAGAUACUUCAAGACAGUUCCACCUAAGCCCUAAGGUACACAUUCUUGAAGACCACGUGAUUCCCCAAUUACGAAAGUUGGGUUGGUCGAUGGGAGUUGGAUCAGAGCAAGGUGGCGAGGCCUCACACAAACUGGUAAAAGCAGUGAGGCAGCGAUUUUUCAAUAAGUCCUCAGAUAAAGACAGUAUUUUAAGAGCUGUGAC